rnacentral:rRNA from 1 species
GAUGAACGCUAGCUACAGGCUUAACACAUGCAAGUCGAGGGGUAACGAGAGGAAAGCUUGCUUUCCUUGUCGACGACCGGCGCACGGGUGAGUAACGCGUAUCCAACCUGCCCCCAACUAGGGAAUAACCUUGCGAAAGUAAGACUAAUACCCUAUAAUUUCCUCAGAUGUCAUCUGACGAGGAAUAAAGAUUUAUCGGUUGUGGAUGGGGAUGCGUCUGAUUAGCUUGUUGGCGGGGUAACGGCCCACCAAGGCAACGAUCAGUAGGGGUUCUGAGAGGAAGAUCCCCACCAUUGGGAAUGAGACACGGUCCAAACUCCUACGGGAGGCAGCAGUGAGGAAUAUUGGUCAAUGGGCGGAAGCCUGAACCAGCCAAGUAGCGUGCAGGAUGACGGCCCUAUGGGUUGUAAACUGCUUUUAUACAGGAAUAAAGUCAGCCACGUGUGGUUAUUUGUAGGUACUGUAUGAAUAAGGACCGGCUAAUUCCGUGCCAGCAGCCGCUGUAA